rnacentral:rRNA from 1 species
AUUGAACGCUGGCGGCAGGCCUAACACAUGCAAGUCGAACGAGUGGCGGACGGGUGAGUAAUGUCUGGGAAACUGCCCGAUGGAGGGGGAUAAAUACUGGAAACGGUAGCUAAUAACGCAUACCAUCGGAUGUGCCCAGAUGGGAUUAGUUAGUCGGGGGGGUAACGGCUCACCUAGGCGACGAUCCCUAGCUGGUCUGAGAGGAUGACCAGCCACACUGGAACUGAGACACGGUCCAGACUCCUACGGGAGGCAGCAGUGGGGAAUAUUGCACAAUGGGCGCAAGCCUGAUGCAGCCAUGCCGCGUGUAUGAAGAAGGCCUUCGGGUUGUAAAGUACUUUCAGCGGGGAGGCGUUACUCGCAGAAGAAGCACCGGCUAACUCCGUGCCAGCAGCCGCGGUAAUAC